AUGGCUGCCAAGAAGCUCGUGCUCAUACGCCUCCUACUCGUGGGGUUCAUAAUAAACCAUGUAGCCCGCACCGCCGCCGGCGCCGGUGACGACGACCACCAGUUCGUCUACUCCGGCUUCGCCGGCAGCAGCGGCCUGCUCCUCGACGGCGCGGCGUCGGUGACAGAGAGCGGCCUCCUGGAGCUCACCAACGGCACGCUCCGCCAGAAAGGACACGCCAUCUACCCGACCCCGCUGCGCCUCCGUGGCCGCUCCUUCUCGUCCUCCUUCGUGUUCGGCAUCCUGUCCGCCUACCCCGACGUGAGCGCCAACGGCGUCACGCUCUUCGUCGCCCCGACCGCAAACUUGUCGGGCGCCAUGGCGGCGCAGUACCUCGGCCUCCUCAACACCAGCAACAACGGCAACGCCACCAACCGCGUCUUCGCGGUGGAGCUGGACACCAUGCAGAACAACGAGUUCAGGGACCUCAGCGACAACCACGUCGGGAUCGACAUCAACAGCCUCGUCUCGGCCAACUCCACCGACGCCGGCUACUACGACGACGACGACGGCAGCGGCGGCGAGUUCCGCAACCUGACGCUCAUCAGCCACGAGGCGAUGCAGGUAUGGGUGGACUACGACGGCGGGACCGGCAGGAUCAACGUCACCCUGGCUCCCCUCGGGAUGCGGAGGCCGGCGAGGCCGCUGCUCUCGGUGGUGCACGACCUCUCGGCGGUGAUCCCCGACACCGCGUACAUCGGCUUCUCGUCCUCGACAGGGCUGGUCAGCUCCCAGCACUACAUCCUUGGAUGGAGCUUCGCGUUGGACGGCCCCGCGCCCGCCAUCGACAUCGCCAAGCUGCCGAAGCUGCCCCGCGAGUUCCCGAAGCCGAGGUCCAAGGCCAUGGAGGUCAUCCUGCCCAUAGCCACUGCCGCGCUGGUCCUCUUCGUGGGGACGGCCCUUGUCCUCCUCAGGAGAAGGCAGCUGAGGUACAGCGAGCUGAGGGAGGAGUGGGAGGUGGAGUUCGGGCCGCACCGCUUCUCCUACAAGGAUCUGUUCCGCGCCACGGAAGGGUUCAAGAACAAGAACCUGCUGGGGGUAGGAGGAUUCGGCAAAGUGUACAGAGGAGUUCUUCCGGCGUCCAAAUGCGAGAUCGCGGUGAAGAGGGUGUCGCACAGCUCGAAGCAGGGCAUGAAGGAGUUCGUCGCCGAGAUCGUCAGCAUAGGGCGGAUGCAGCACCCCAACCUCGUCCAGCUGCUCGGCUACUGCCGCCGGCAAGGUGAGCUGCUUCUGGUGUACGAGUACAUGCCAAACGGGAGCCUCGACAAGUACCUGUAUUCUCAGCCUCAAGAGGCCAACGACAAGCACAACGGUACUCUGAAUUGGGUUCAGAGGCUUGGGAUCAUCAAAGGCAUUGCAUCGGGAUUGAUCUACCUCCACGAGGAGUGGGAGAAAGUUGUCGUCCAUCGCGACAUCAAGGCCAGCAACGUGUUGCUCGACAGCGGCAUGAACGGCCGGCUCGGCGACUUCGGGCUCGCGAUGCUGUAUGACCACACUGCCGACCCGGAGACCUCGCAUGUCGUCGGAACCAUAGGGUACCUAGCCCCGGAGAUUGGCCGUACCAGCAAGGCGACCAUCCUGACCGACGUGUUUGCCUUCGGCAUAUUCGUGCUGGAGGUCACCUGUGGGCAGAAGCCCAUCAUGCAAGAUUCAAAGGAUGAUCAGCUCAUGCUGGCAGACUGGGUGGUGGAGCACUGGAACAGGGGGUCACUGGUUGAGACGGUGGACAGCAAGCUCCAGGGCGACUACGAUGCCGAUGAGGCGUGUGUGGUGCUAAAGGUGGGGUUGUUGUGCUCUCACCCGUUUCCUGAAGCAAGGCCUACUAUGCGGCAAGUCUUGCAGUACCUGAAUGGUGAUAUGCCGGUGCCGGAGCUAGUUCCGGCGCACCUGAGCCUCCAGAUGCUGGCGUUCAUGCAGAAUGAAGGGUUUGAUUCGUACGUCAUGUCGUAUCCUUCAUCUGUGGAGAGCAUUAACAGCCUCACUAGCCUUGUGCACGAGAGAUAG
rnacentral:rRNA from 1 species